rnacentral:rRNA from 1 species
GUGGGGAAUCUUGCGCAAUGCGCGAAAGCGUGACGCAGCAACGCCGCGUGGGGGAAGAAGGCCUUCGGGUUGUAAACCCCUUUCAGGAGCGACGAAGGUGCGGCGGUGAAUAGCCGUCCGCAUUGACGGUACCUCCAGAAGAAGCUCCGGCUAACUACGUGCCAGCAGCCGCGGUAAUACGUAGGGGGCUAGCGUUGUCCGGAAUCAUUGGGCGUAAAGCGCACGCAGGCGGCCCGGUCAGUCCGCUGUGAAAGUCAAAGGCUCAACCUUUGAAUGCCGGUGGAUACUGCCGGGCUAGAGUCCGGAAGAGGCGAGUGGAAUUCCUGGUGUAGCGGUGGAAUGCGCAGAUAUCAGGAGGAACACCAACAGCGAAGGCAGCUCGCUGGGACGGUACUGACGCUGAGGUGCGAAAGCGUGGGGAGCAAACAGG